GAAGUUCUGCUGCUUUGUGUCAAAUUUACCUUUACAAAUGACACAUUAAGACAUUUAAUAAAGCUAGGAACCUCAGCAUAGCCUGGUCAUAUCUGAUAUUGGUCAAUUGAUGUGUCCUAAGUGACUUCCUUUCCAGUCGGUUCACUACAGCUGGGAGAAAGUGCGACACUGUUGGACUUCAGCUGAGUAAACAUUCCCCACCGAGGCCAGAGAUCUUGUGUACACACAGGGCACAGCGCACGUUCUGCGAGGGGCCUCGCAGCCGCCACAAGGAUGGAUGGUCUAACCAGGCCAGAGUCCAUGUGGGCACAGCAGUCAGAAUAUGACAAGAGACCACCCCAUCUGCUGAAACCAUUAAGCUCUGACGAACAGAUACCAGCUCGGGCUAGGCUGUGGUUGUAGCGCUUCCACACCGCUUGCCUCCUUAUACACACCCACACACAUGUUUUUUGCAAAGAUGCAUACACACGGUUAUGCAAUCCUCAGACCGCCUAUGAAGGAAAUAGACUCGAUGGUGCUUGAAAGAGAUAGAGAGUGAAUUCACUGAGAGGGAUUGAGUGAAGUGUGGUAACAGGACACCCACAAGACACCUAAAGACCAGCAGUGACAGUCUCGCACACAUGCAUGUAAGACCGUAGCUAAUGAUAAACCUCUGUGAUGGCGGAUGUGAUAGAGAUAAUUCAUUUUCCUUUGCCAAAAUCAAAGUCAUUUUUCCUGUAUUUGAAAGGAGAUAUCGGGGCUAGUCAUUAGUGCCAGUUAGCCCAGGGGAUGCAGAGAGUAACUGUGAUUUGUCUGUAUUAACCCUCCUUACAGGAGCUCAUGUUGCUGCUGCCAGUUGACUCAUGGAUCCUGAUAUGAGAGGCAUAGAUCCAAAAUUUCUUUGGUUCAGGGCAAUUGUUUCAGUGCCCGCCCAUUUCGUGUCUUUUUUUGGCAUUUCACUUUAUUUUGACAGUACAGUUGAGAAAGACAGGAAAGGCAGAGGAUAGAGGGGCAAUGACAUGAAACAAGGGGCUUGGGUUAGACUUAUACCCAGAGUCUGCUUUGAUACGUGGUACAUGCUCUAACAUGUCCUCCAAAUUAAAGCUCCUCUCACACUCUCUCCCCUUCUGUCUGCUGGUCAACUGCCAUGGUGAAGGCGGUUACAAUGGCCGGCUACGAAGAACCAUAAAUCUGGACACUUCCUACCACUGUCUCCCACUUCAAGGGGAAGCCUGUCCUGUUGCAAACAUGAUUAACCCUCUUCCUCUCUGUCCACACACCGUCCAACCUCCUCACCCCAACAAGUGGCCAUGCUACAGGGAAAAACAGGGCCGUCCUUGAUACCGCAGAGGCAGGGAACCCUCCAGAUUUGCUAAUAAAACAUAGCCUUUGUAUUGGACCUAUAAAGACUGUAUGCAGGGGUGGAAAUUAACUUUUUGGCUUAACUGCCAAGGUGGCUGGUAGAUGAAAAAAUCUACUAGCCAAAUAUAUUUUGUACUGGCCAAAAUAAUAAAUUGCCUUCUGUGUCACAUA